CGGGUGAGUAACACGUAUCCAACCUGCCGUCUACUCUUGGACAGCCUUCUGAAAGGAAGAUUAAUACAAGAUGGCAUCAUGAGUUCACAUGUUCACAUGAUUAAAGGUAUUCCGGUAGACGAUGGGGAUGCGUUCCAUUAGAUAGUAGGCGGGGUAACGGCCCACCUAGUCUUCGAUGGAUAGGGGUUCUGAGAGGAAGGUCCCCCACAUUGGGACUGAGACACGGCCCAG
rnacentral:rRNA from 1 species